AUCCUGCUCCUGCUGCUCAUCAUUGCCCUCAUGCUCUGGCGGCUGCACUGGCGCAGGCUCCUCAGCAAGGCUGAACGGAGGGUGUUGGAAGAGGAGCUGACGGUUCACCUCUCUGUCCCUGGGGACACUAUCCUCAUCAACAACCGCCCAGGUCCUAGAGAGCCACCCCCGUACCAGGAGCCCCGGCCUCGUGGGAAUCCGCCCCACUCCGCUCCCUGUGUCCCCAAUGGCUCUGGUGCACCUGUGUGAGGUCGACAGCCCUCAAGAU
rnacentral:sRNA from 2 species